rnacentral:lncRNA from 1 species
UUUUUUUUUGAUAAAAAGGAAUCAAUUCAUUAAUCAAAAGCCAUACGGCAUCUACAAAUAUAAUCGAAAUUGGACAGACGCUGAAGAAUAUCGCUGUUGAAUCCUUCCUUCUUGGAGGGGCAACUGAGCGAUUUGAAGAUGAUGAAUAUAUACACUUGUUUCAUUGUUUCCAUCUGAUUGGUUUUCACCUGACUGUUCUGAACAAUCGACCAUAAAUGCGAUUCCAUAAUAACCUUCAAGCCUGAAUCAAACCCAUAAAAAUCAUGCCGAUCUAUGACCUCGGUCAUGAAGAACACCAAAACACACCAAAACAAAACAACUCAACUCUCACAAGAAGGAGAGACUAACAAAACCCAAAUAAAUUGGGAACUUAUUGAAUGGAAAAUACGAUUGCAAAACAGGAAAAUAGAAAAAAGGAAUUGGGGCUUUCCACCGGUGAAAGCCGAUGGAAGCCCCCUCGAAAAUCUUUAAUGGAGGCUAGGGUUU